UGAUAAACUGGAGGAAGGUGGGGAUGACGUCAAGUCAUCAUGGCCCUUACGACCAGGGCUACACACGUGCUACAAUGGCGCAUACAAAGAGAAGCGACCUCGCGAGAGCAAGCGGACCUCAUAAAGUGCGUCGUAGUCCGGAUUGGAGUCUGCAACUCGACUCCAUGAAGUCGGAAUCGCUAGUAAUCGUGGAUCAGAAUGCCACGGUGAAUACGUUCCCGGGCCUUGUACACACCGCCCGUCACACCAUGGGAGUGGGUUGCAAAAGAAGUAGGUAGCUUAACCUUCGGGAGGGCGCUUACCACUUUGUGAUUCAUGACUGGGGUGAAGUCGUAACAAGGUAACCGUAGGGGAACCUGCGGUUGGAUCACCUCCUUA
rnacentral:rRNA from 1 species